AUCAGCUAAUUCGGCGAAUGUGUUGCCACUCUAGACCGUUCUGCGUGGCUGCUGUGUUUAUAAACUUUCUGAGGAAUUUCCUUUAGGCUAACAUUUUGCCAUUCACAUUGAGCUGUGUCUUUGGUGUAGCUACCAUAUCACAGUUUUUAAAGCUGCUGAUGGCUGCAUGGUUUUUAUCACAGUGCCAUUCCUCUUUCUGCCAGCCCCGACACUAUGCCAGUUUGCGGGCACACAUUAAGUCUCACAUAGUUGAGGCUGUGCCGCACGGAGGUAAGCACAUGCUCCUUCAGUUAUUGCGUCAACAUAUUUAAAAAAUCACAUAUGAAAAUGAUGAUUUCCCAGUAAGUGUAUUUAUUAAGGAUCCCCAGUAGUUCCUGCCAAGGCAGCAGCUACUCUUCACAGGGGUUUAUAAUGGGUUUGAAAUAUGUGAUGUCUGCGUGCUGUUUUUUCACUGACAGAUUUGCCUCGCGUUCCCGAAGCUAUUGAUCCUCUGUGGCUAAAUUAUAGGCCUUUUCGUGGUGUAGUAGGCUAUUCUGAAUUAUUUAAUUUAUUUAUGAACAGUCACCAUUAAUUCUAGAACGUUGGAAAAUGUAUUUCAAUUUAUCAGAGGUGCUGCAGUUAGUUCAGAACCCUUCAUGUUGGUAUGAUUCUAUAAGGAAAUAAAUGAUGAAGUGCAACGCUGGAGAGAUUAGAGUUGCAGGUUCAUGUCUAUCAGAGCUGAGAGAGGGAGAUAGAUUAUAGAAAGUGAAUCUCAUUCUAGUUAUAUGAGCGAUAAAGGCGCGCUUCUCACACGGCCACAGCCAUACGUUGAUCUCAAACAUAGGUGUUACACUGUUGCGCAAACCAUAACGGUCCAAACCAAGUCAACUCUUAGAAUAUUAGGCCCGGGCUACUUUUUCACAUUACGUUUAUUUGUGGGGUGCAGGAGAAUUAAUGGAGAGGCAACUCAAAUUAACUUUGAUCGCUUUUAUUAACGUACCGGAUCCGGCCAAAUAGGUUCUGGAAUAAAACAGUCCAAAACCGAGAGGUGCCGGAUCAUAUUUCUGAUCGGAUCCGGUUCAAAUUAAGCACCGGACGACAUUCACUGCUAUAAACCUGUCUCCAAUAUAACCACAUCAUUUACACAGACUCGCCGCAGAUCUUCGUGUGAAUAGGCGUGCCAUGAUCUGUUUUGUCAACGAGCUCAAUGUAUUCUAAUGGCUUGUG